UCUAGAUUUAAAAGUGUUUAUUGUUGAAGCACAUCUGAUCUUUUCUGGAAGCUGAUUCUAGCUACGAGUGGCAUAAUAGCUAAAGGCUGACUCACUUUGUUUUUGAGUGAACCUUGCUAUUUCUAACUGACUUGGUCCUAAUCAUCUGAAUAAUCUGUUUGUAUUAUAUACAAUUAGCAUGUGUUCAAUGUAUUAAGGUCCUAAGCCGGAGGUGUCAAACUCAAUUUCAUCCCAAGCCACAUCAUCAUUCCGGUUGCUCUUAAAGGGCCGGUUGUAUGUUUAAGACUGUAUGAAUCACCUCUUUUAUACACUGCAUCAUUGCCUCUGCAAUUGAUUACUACUGGUUUUGUUAAUUAUAACCCAGGACAAAUAAUGAUAAAGUCAAUUCAAGUGUACAGAUUAUUUAAAAAAUGUAACACGCUUUGUGAUCCCUUUAUUGCACAGGUAAGAAAAUACAAGGUUUUUCCUGUGCCAAAUUAGCUUUCUGUGGUGGCUAAUUAAUAUUUUCAUAGACCGACAGUAAAACCCCACCCAUAUGAACAGGGAGCACAAAGUCCUUAGAAGAUGUCACAAUUAAAGCCAAAGUAUGGUUAGAAAAACUAUGGUCUUACUGAAAUUUUGUCAACCUCCUUCAUAUUAUACAGCAGGGCUAUUCAAAUCUUACCCUGGAGGGCCGGAGCACUGCAGAGUUUAGCUCCAACUCUGAUCAAACACACCUGAGCAAGCUAAUCAAGGUCUUCAUGAUCACUAAACAAUCACAGGUGGGGAAGUUUGAUUAGGGUUGGCACUAAACUCUGUAGUAAGAUUUGAAUAGCCCUGUUAUACUGUAUAUAGGUCAUGCAUUUAUACUGUAGGCCAUGCAUUUAUCAGACAAAGAUACCUGUCACUCCUGCUGAGUUAUCUGGCUUUGAAUCAUCCGCUACAUCCGAAACCGCAUUCAAACUCAUCAACCGUAAAAACAAUACGGGUUAAAUAUGGGUAGUGUGAAUGACAUUUGGAUAUGGGAAGAGCGAGAUUGGCUCACCCCACUAUAAGUUGAAAGCCCGUCAGCCCACAUCCUGUUAGAUAUGUGUGUCAGCUCUGGCAAGCCCUGGCAAGCAUAUUUGCUGUUCCCCUUUAAUAGAAGAUUGUAGAAAGAACAAAAAAUCUUGCAACAGUUUGUAGAAAUUGGAGAAGAUGAAGAAACCGGAAAAAAAGGAAUAUAAAAAACAAUAACAUGUUAAAACAGGACUCUUACAGUGCUUCAUUCGUAGUGAAACAGUAACUACUAAGCCUGUUAUUACAACAUAUGAUGCAAUUCGCUAUGGUAUGAAAAACAAAUAAUAUAAUUGGGCUUCUGUUAUUCAUUCAUUCAACCAUAAUAAUUAUAGUGGGAGAUUAACUACUUGUUCAUGGGUGAAUGGAAUAUAUUAGAUUUGUUUAAGAUGAAUAAAAGAUAUGCAGUGUCUUGAAGACAGACAGAUGUAUGAUAUCAGUUUUUAUAACGGUCUCAGACCCAUCAAAUGCCACCUGUCGUACCUUAUUGUUAACAGAGCUAAUCAUGUUUUUGCAAAAGGGAUUACAGCACAAUAUAGAAGUUUGAGAAUUAAAUUCAAGCUUUACAGUUAAAGGUCACAUAUUUCUAAGCUUUCUAGAAUUUUAUUUAAGGUUAUUUAAGGAUUUAGGAAUAUAUAUAUAUGCAAUUUUAAGUACC